rnacentral:tRNA from 1 species
GGUGUCAUUAGUUUAACGGUAGAACACCCGGUUGUGGGCCGGGAGAUCAGGGUUCGAUUCCCGACUGACGCCC